GGUUACUAUGGCGACUGGAGCCCGCUAUAAGGACGCAGUCGCCAUGUUAUCUACUCUUCAGUCUGGUCUAGACUGCGUUCUUGAUUCCAAUUCUUGUGUAGAGUGACGGAAAACAUACAAGGAUGGAACGGAAUCAGGUGUGGCCGCAUGGGCCAAGAUGUUUACUGCCUUACCUGAGCAUGCGCAGUGAUGCUGCAUAAGAGGGCUGCCUGCCAGGCUGGACUGUUCCUCGUGAUCUGGACCUGUCAGCCUAUCUGUGACCGAUCUGAGCUCCUGCUUGAAGCGUGUGUGAAUUCUGAUUGGCUGAGGUGGGGUGGAGCUAGAUGAGGUCAGUCAGCACAAGUAUGGGAGUUUUGUUGUUUAGUCCUUGCCCUAAGUAGAAGCUAGUUGUAGUAAGAGAAGCUGUUGUAAGUGAAGUUGUUGUAAGAAAAGCUGCAAGAAGGACGGAGGAAGAAGCUGCUGCUGGGGAAGAGAGCUGUAGGGGAAAAAGCCCAAAGAAGCUAUUGCGUGAACCGCCUUGGUGUCCAGUGUUGUUCCUGUCGCCACCGGCUUGAAGGACUGUAGCACCCACCACUUCCCACUCUUUUGGACUUCCAGUUUGCUGACCCAUGAGAUGUUUCUGUUGUACAAGCCACUUUUUCCUGUGGCAUUUUUGUUAACACAGCUCUAGCUGACUAACUUACAACUGUUUAUAAAUAGUGUUUGCUUGGUAUUGUA